GCGCCCGUAGCUCAAUCGGCAGAGCAGCAGCCUUUUAAGCUGAUGGUUGUGGGUUCGAUUCCCGCCGGGCGCACCA
rnacentral:tRNA from 1 species